rnacentral:ncRNA from 1 species
AUGAAUGUAUGAAACUCAAAUUUGUUAUAGAUGUUUACAAAAGGAAAGGACACAUAUUUUACAGAUGUAAUGUCUUACAUAUUGUAAAAAACUUAAUAAAAUUCACCAACAUGAAGUGUUUUGCUUUUAUUGGUCUAAAACCAAGCGAUUCUUUCAGGAAUCGUUGACUGGUUCAACUCUAGAUAACUUUCAGAUCGUAUGGUCUUGUACCGACGACAGAUCUUUCAAAUGUCUGCCCUAUCAACUAUUGAUGGUAGUAUCUAGGACUACCAUGGUUGCAACGGGUAACGGGGAAUCAGGGAGAGGGAGCCUGAAAA